UACAGAGGUCCCAAGCGUUGUUCGGAUUCACUGGGCGUAAAGGGUGCGUAGGCGGUCGGGUAAGUCUGAUGUGAAAUCUCACAGCUUAACUGUGAAACUGCAUUGGAUACUAUCCGGCUCGAGGAAUGGAGGGGAGACUGGAAUACUUGGUGUAGCAGUGAAAUUCGUAGAUAUCAGGAGGAACACCAGUGGCGAAGGCGGCUUUCUGGACGGUAACUGACGCUGAGGCGCGAAAGCGUGGGGAGCAAACAGG
rnacentral:rRNA from 1 species